AUACGGAGGGUGCAAGCGUUGUUCGGAUUUACUGGGCGUAAAGCGCGCGCAGGCGGACUAGCAAGUCAGAUGUGAAAUCCCGGGGCUUAACCUCGGAACUGCGUCUGAAACUGUUAGUCUAGAGUCUCAGAGGGGGCAGGGGAAUUUCACGUGUAGGGGUAAAAUCCGUAGAGAUGUGAAGGAACACCGGUGGCGAAGGCGCCUGCCUGGAUGAGUACUGACGCUGAGGCGCGAAAGCGUGGGGAGCAAACAGGAUUAGAUACCCUGGUAGUCCACGCCGUAAACGAUGAGUACUAGCUAUUAGAGGUAUUGACUCCUUUAGUGGCGCAGCUAACGCAUUAAGUACUCCGCCUGGGAAGUACGGUCGCAAGACUAAA
rnacentral:rRNA from 1 species